UCCUCCCUUCUUCUUCUUCUCUUCUUCCUAUCUCUAAUCUUUUCUUUCUACCAAGCAGCAGCAGAUAUCUCUCUCGAACCCUUUCUUCUUCGUCGGAUCCAGUUUCAUCAAUUUCACACCCUAAAUCUCCAUUAAUCUUACUCAAUCUCGACUUUAGAGUACAGAGUUUGGAUUUGGUUAUUGAAUAUUCAAUCUUCUCUAACCUGUAACCCUAAAUUCAAAAUUGGGUGAAUUGAUUGAACCACCACCACCAUCACCAACUUCGUCCUCUGCUUUGUACACCACUACUAUAAAAUCUCCGUUAACGCUUUUUGGUUUUGCAUAUGGAGGUCUGUUGGCACUUCUGGCAUAAACUAGUGGAAAAGAUUUUCAAGCGAAAUGACAAUAAAACAGUAGCCAAGAAGGUUUUGUUUGAACAGUUGACUUCUUCUCCUUGAAAUAAUCUUCUUGUUUUACUAUGGAUUGGUCGUUUGAGGGUAAGUCUUUAUUAGUGUGUUUAAUUUAUGAUUAAAUCUCAUUAAGAAACUGAAUUCAACUGAAAAGGGUGAGAAGUAUGAGAGACAUUGUCCUGAUUCAGAUCAUCAAUUGAAUUGUUUAGUUCCUGCUCCUGUUGAUUAUAAAACUUCAAUCCCUUGGCCUAAAUCUAGAGAUGAGGUAAUGAAAAUUUCAUUUUCUUUAAUGUGUUUUAGUAGCUUAAGGUGGUGUUCAACAAUUCAUAUUUGUUUAAUGGUAGGUGUGGUUUGUGAGUGUACCUCAUACACGUUUAGUUGAAGACAAAGGAGGUCAGAAUUGGAUCACAAGAGUGAAACACAAGUUUGUGUUUCCCGGUGGCGAUACGCAGUUUAUACCUACGGAGUGUUUCAAAUUUUCGGUCUUCUUUUGUUGUAGAUGGAAAUUUGCUUCUUGAGGUCAAUAGAAUUUUACGAGACGGAAGAUAUAUUUUUUGGGCAGCUCAGCGGGUUUAUAAGCACGAGAAAAUAUGAUAUAUUUGUUUUAACAUCUCUUUGCUUUACAAUUUCGCUUUACAAUUUCGCUUUACAAAUUUACAAGUCCGACUCCGUGCCAUUGUGGCUAAACUAAAUUAUGAGUAUAAAAUUUAGUUUUGCGUUAAA